ACCUCCUGCAUACCCCCUACCGGGGAUGUGCCCGCAACCAAGGAACUACUGAGAAUCAAAAACCUAUAGCCGACUUUGGGAUAUGGCUUUAUUAUUCAGCAACUAAAAGAUGAGUUCUAAUUGGCAGACUUCUGGCAUUGGCACUUGUCCUCCUGUUUCUAUAGAAACGGUUGGAAGUCAGAGCUGUACAAGGGAAAGGGAAGGGGUCAUCUGCUGGGCAUAAACAUUUGUUCUCAUUCAGGCAGACACCCAUUAUUCGUAGAAUCUGAGACAGCUGCCAAUUGGAAUGGCAAAGGAAAAGGGAACCUUAAAAACUAUUUGUUUUGCCUUCUUAUUUUACAAAUGAGGAAACUGUUCUUCUGAAAUUUUGGGUCCGGUAAUGUAUUCCUGUAAGUUUUCUUUUGUUUCUAAUGCGUUUCUUUUGUUAAGCUUGCACUUGAUUGCAGUCCUCUCUCCUUCCGGUCAGACUCUGCUUUUCCAUCUCUCAGCCAGUGGCACAAAGAAAAGGGAAAGUGAAGAGAGGAGGAAGCAGGUGCCAGAGAAGUAGAAGGAGCCUGCGUAUGUCUGGGUGUAGUCAUAGAACCAGCCUGGAAGGAAGGAAUGGUUUCUGUUAGCUAAGCAAACCUUCCCGUUAGUCAUUCUCAGCCAUGAACUUUUCUAGAAGAAAAGAACCUCAUGUACUUAACCAGUCUGCAUUGUGACCUAUGGGAAAGUGAGUCCAGCUCCGUACCUGUCUUAUUUCUAGUGAUGGAGUUACUUGCAUCAGUUUCACUUGAUUUAGGGACUCAACCCAUGGAGACAGUCACUGCGGACCCAGACCUCAUCUCCGAUCUUAGAAGUUGGAGAAAAUUAGGAACACCUACCAUUUCAUUGUCUGAUGAAUCUUAUUAGAAGGCACCAUUCUUACAAAGAAAACAAUUGUAAAUUCCUAAUGUUUUCCAAAGGAAAAAAGUAAGAGAACUGAUCCUCGCCCCCUCCCACACCCCCCAAACAAAUGUUUGAGUAUUUACUGUUCCCAGCAGUGUGCUAGGGGUUGAGGAUACAAUAAUGACCCAAAAGAGACUUGGUCCUGGCCCUCACAGACUGUACAGUUUAGUGGGGGGUUAGGUGUUAACCACAUAAAUUGCAAGUGAUAAGGGCUAUGAAGGGAAGGUUCAGGACACCCUGAGAGCAUAUGAAAAGGAACUGACUAUUUGGUCAAGUGAGUUAAAUGAUGGCUGAAAUUCUCCCUGACAUGCUCUUUCAAAGCAUGAAUGGGGAGGGGUUCUCGAAAUCCUUAGGCUAAUGACACGUCCUAGAACUUAAGUGAAACCCCUUAAAAAAACAAAAAACAGUUUUGACCUCACAGACUUCCUAAAAAGGUCUCAGGACCUCUGGGGAGUCCACUGACCACACUUGACAGCCCCUUUUCUAGAGAUUGUAUGCAUUUUAUGUUUUUAAAUGCACACUUACAUUGUGGCUUUUAUAUUUAAAAUCCAAAAGAACUUAGAGAGUUAAAGCUGUUAUUCUGAUUAUCUAUUUAAAAAAUGUUGGUGCUGUACGCUGGCACAGUUCUGGGUACUGGGGAUAUACCCAUGAACAGAAUAGAUGGAAGGCUGCCCUCAUGGGAUGUACGUUGUGUCUUUUGAUUUUUGUUUAUAUCUUGGAACAUGAUUUCUCACUGGAAGUGUAGAGUAUACCCUGCCCUCUUUGUUCUCUUAUUUGGCUCUGAAAUAGACUUUAAAAAUGUUUUUAGUUAUUUUUCAUUCGUGUUAUGUUUCUUGUUUGUAAUGUAAUGAAUGGAUGGAAUGUUUUAUCACCUCUUAAAUUCAGCUGACUUUAAGUUGCUUUUUACCUAUUGACUCCUUGUUUGAUCAGUGACCACAAAUGCUUUUUGGAGUUAAGCAAGAGUGGGUGAAGCCUACUAGGACCAGUCCUUGCUGAUUGUGAUUGACCUUUAUAUACCUGAAAAAUAGGUGACCAAUCUCUCAACUUCUAGAAAUUUCUAGGAAGGAGGGAGUGUGAAAAGCAACCACACUCCCUUUUAUCCCUUGUCAUUGUUGCCUUAGUCCCACCAGUACAGCAAAUUUACCAACAUAUAUAUAUAUAUAUAUACAUAUAUAUAUAUAUAUAUAUCUCCUGUGAAUUAUGAGACAGCAGUAUUAGAAAUAAUACUAUGGGAAAGACUAGAAAUUCUUGGGUAUGGAGAUAAACAGUGUUGCUAAAGGUCAGGAGAGCACAGCAAAAAGUAGUGAAAAUGAGUUGUUUUUUAAGAAAUCCCAGAGGGCCUAAAACAUUUUCAGAGAAAAUGCUUAUAAGCCUUUAAUUUCACCCACAGACACACAUUGAAAGUCAGAAUGUUGCUUUAGAAACAUUAAAGAUUAAUGAAAUAAUUUGUCUUAAAUCUGUUUUUUCUCUUUAUACUUGAUAAUUGAGAUGUUAGUAUAUAUGUUUUUUUAUUUUAUCUCUAUGACCCAAUUGCCAUUCAGUAGGAUUAUAAUGUGCAGUGAGUAUUUACUUUUAGGAGUCUAUUUAUAAUAGCAAAUAUGAGGUGAAAUGUAGGAUGCAUUAUUGAUUAAUUAUCUAUGAAAGUAUUAGUUGUCAUAAUCAGCUUAGCUUAAGUGGCUGCUAGGUAAGUUAAAUUCAGAACUUGGUUUUUUUCUCCCCCCGCCCCCACUCUAUUUGGUUGGAAUGAUUAGCCUUUUCCCACCACUGAAAAAUAAAAACGCUAUAUAAUUGGUCAGAUUUUAUCAGAUCUCUGUACUUAAAGAAUAGUAUGAAAAAGCUGUAUAACAGUGCACUUUUAACCCUACCACUUUAAUACUUCUAAGUAUAUAUUUUUAAAAGAAAUUAUUGUUGGUAGUUCAAAAGCCACUCUGUUUUAAAUGGAAACACACACAUAGUUGACAUUCAAAAGUCUGGGUUCAUUUGUGGCUGGAGCAGAGAAAGUCGUGAUUAGCUACCAUCCACAAUUCAGGAAAGUGUGUAUGUCUGUGUGUCCACUCCAUGUGUGUAGCCACCCCUGAGGUACGCCAGCAACUUCCCAAGCUGCAGUCCCCUGUGAGCACAUCCUCAGUGUCUCCAGACGCCUGAGAUGCAUGUUAGUCGCUCAUUGGUUCCCCGCAAGGGUACUUCAUCCUGGUUGGUGCCCAGUUGAUUCUUAGGCACAAAAACUUGUUCUCCAGAUCACUUCAUCUAUAGCUCAAUAACCCAUGUUUUGGGCAGGAAUGUCUAAUAAUGUUUCCUAUGAUCAUUUAAAACAACUAAGAAGAUAGGGCUCAGCUUCCUUCGUUAGCUUUGUAAACCAGUUUCUUACAGUGAACACAAAAGGGAUUAGAAUAAUAGGUCAAGUUUGAUUUGUAAUCUAGGAUUUUAAAUUCAUUUAAUAAAAUGUCAGCAUUUUAAAACUAUUUAACAUAAUGUUAUGGGUUAAGCCAUACAUGUUUAAAGAUGAGUUUAACAACCUGUAUUAAAAGUAUUCAGACCUUAAUAUCUUAGAACUUGAUUGAGCUCAGUUAUGACUCUUUUUUUAUUAGGAUUAGUACUAUUAGGUUUACUGUUGGUCACCUUGUGAAAACUUGAAAUAUACCCAGAAAGUCCUUAAUUCCAAAGUUCCUUGAUGCUAGUUCAAGUUAGUGGCUGAGAAUUCUGUAAGAGACUAGUGGUGUUGAACCAGAACUUGCAGCUGAUGGGCUGCAGCACAGGGGCCAGCUUCCAAGGGUCCAAGACAGGGAUCUCAUCCCCAGGCCACCCGAGCUGCUGGCUGGCGGUUAGCAGCCUUGUUGUUUUACUCUGGGUAUAUACUGUAUUUUCUGUCAGUGCCAUGAUGGGAAAAUACAUAGAUAUUUUCAGUAAUCUUGGGAAAUGUGGUUUAGCAAAUUUCAACCUCAGUGUCUUUUAAGACCAGAAUUCUCCAAACGCCUUAUGAUGGAAACUUGCAGUAAGAUUUAUUGGGUGAGCUUUGGGCAUUGGCUCUGUGCUGUGGGUUUUACUAAAAUGAUUGUGGUCUGUGUUAGGAUUUUGAAGCUUAAAUCCUUGGCCUUGAAAAGGAAUAUGUUUGCAAGGGAAAGACUAACCCCCCUCCUCUUUUUAAACCACACUAAAGAGCUAUUUGGAUUUUUUUUUUUUAAUAUUUUUGUAGGGAGUCAUCAAUCCUGGAAAUACUGAAUCAAAAUAAAAUUGCAUGGGCAUUGUUUGUGGGGGAAUCACUGGAUAGAGAUAAUUUACAUGGUUUUCCUUUGCCUCUUGAGGUUAUAAUACAUCCCUCAGGGUUUAGAGGACAGAGAACCUUGCUCUGCUCUCUCACUUGCCCCCACUUCCUCCCACUCUCCAGGGACUUAUAGCAGACCAAAAGGUUGAGUUGUUUUGUUUGUUUGUUUUUCAAAUACAGUUUCAGGCCAUGGAGAAAUUCCCAACCGAUAGGCCAAGAUGACUGAUGAAUGUGGAGCAUGUGCUUGAUAACAGGAAAGAGAAAAAUAUUGUUCAGAUAACUGAUGUAACCAUUAUUAACUAGCGUUUGACUGAGGAUUACUGUGGAAAGUUUUACUGUUUGCUAGAUUUCUAAUUUAAAAUGCCAGUAAUCUUUUAUAGGAAUUUCAACUUCUGCGAUUUGGUAAUAACAGAUAUAACAGGUAAGUAAAAAGAAUGAGAAUCUCGUACAAUUUGAAGAUCUAAGCUUGGUUGAGAAUUUAAUAUUUUGUAACCAGAAAGCCUGUUGAUUUAUUUAAAGCUAAAGACAGUAAUGGAACUGCCCAGUCCUGUUGAGAACUGAGUGAAUCUUUAAGGCAGCAUUUCUGAUGUUUCUUUGGUAGUUGCUGUUGGAGUCAGAAUUUAGGAACAAAGCUAAUGGCCUUUGUCAAGUCCUCUGUCAUCUCACAGACAAAGACUGGCUGAAGUUUCUCCCUCCCACUGAGUGGGCAGUGCUGCAUGCGGUCAGUGAGAGUCAGACCAAAAAAUCUAUACCUAGGCUUUCAGCAGCAGCCUUAACACUUUCUUCGACUUUUUCCCCCCCAGAACUCAUAAAAUUUAUAGGUGCCUAAAUAACACGCUCAGAAUUAGCAGGUAGAAAUUGUAUCAUGAGUUUCCUUUCCGCUGACAUAUAGAGCUGGGGCAUUGUGGACUUUGGGUAAUAAAAGACUCGUAAAUUUUUUUUUUUUUAUUCACUGAUAGUAAGAAAUGUACUUUACAUCACAUAUACUUAAAAUACAUAGGUAUGUGUGUGUAAAAUAAAAGUUUCACAAUAAAGGGAUGCCCUGUUUUCUAAUCUGCUCUGUUGUAGUCUAUUCUUUUUCAUUCAAAGUAAAUGAAAAGAUCACGACCCAAGAAAUUGAUUUCAAGACACACACACACAUCUGCAGCUUUUCCUUUUCAGGUAGUGGUCCUCACAAACAUGCCUCGUCUCUCAUAUACGAACCUCUUUGAAUAUUUUAAGAUGUGUACAAAAGCUGGAAUGUAAAAUCUCUAAACACGUUGUAGUUCAGUUCCUUGCCUUUCUCAGUUGCAUGAGAUGCGCUGUGCUCUGGAACUGGUUACCGUCCUAUGCCUUUGGCCUGACAGGCUGAGAGUUCCAGGCAUCAUUGGACCCAGUGAAGAGGGGUCAAGAUGGAAAGAAAUGCAAUGAGCAAACUGUACUUGGGCUCUGUUUUCC